AGAAGAAAGUGACAUAAGCUAAUACUGUUGCAUGUACAGUAGAUAAAACUAACUCUCUCUGGAGAUUUCUUUUCUAGGAAAACAAUUACGUACACUGAAUAACCUCAUACCUUCACAAGGCCUUUAGAGAAAACUUGCUGUUUGUUGGGAGGACAAGCCCUGUGAAGUCUGUUGUCAUUGAAUUUAGCUUGUCACUAUACUGAUUGAGGUUCGGUUGCUGUAUGCUUCAAAUUCUUCAGCUCCUGAGGGUACUAAAAGAGGCACCCAGCCUUUAAGCAGACUGUUUUAGUAGAGAAGCAAGUGCUGCUGUUUUACGUUGUUGGUGGUGAACACUGAAAUGACAGUGUCCGAUCUGUCCACAAAGCAGCCAUAGUCCACAGGACAGAGCAUCGGCAAAGCAGUAAUGAGGAAGUUUUCAAUGAAGCUGAGGUGAUCUAAAGCUCAGUGAAAAAACAUUAGUCAUGCAUGAAAUGUUUUCUGCUUGGCAACUUCAGAAUCAACAGGAAAUUUAGAAAGUAAGAGUGUGAAGCAAAUGAACCACUUGUGCUUGUUUCCAAAUAGGAACUUCGUAUAUCGUUAAUUUAGUCUCAAGCUUCCCAGUAGCCAAUCUCUAGCCAUUUAGUACAGAAAAGCUUAGUGGAUGUUUACUCUUUGUUGACAUACUCACUCUUGCAGUUCUGAGGAAAAUUCAUUUGAGGUUCUACAAGAGAAGACACUGUACAUGGUAGGAUUUCAGAGGACAGCCUGAGCUCUCAGCCUCUAUAGGGAUCACCAACAUAAAAAUCAGGUAGCACUGCCUACUGAUGUGCUGCAGCACAGAGAUGUCCUGCUUGGAGGCUUCUUCGGGAUCUCUGCGAGGUACAUUAGUGACUUAUCAAGGACGACUCCAUUAGGUUGCAAAGUGGAUGACUUUGCUGUCAGGAAGAACUAG
ensembl:lncRNA